rnacentral:tRNA from 1 species
CAGGAUGUAGUAUAGUGGUAGUGCGUCUGCUUUGGGAGCAGAAAGUCGGGGGUUCGAGUCCCUUCAUCCUGA